AGUGGAACUCCAUGUGUAGCGGUGGAAUGCGUAGAUAUAUGGAAGAACACCAGUGGCGAAGGCGGCUCUCUGGUCUGUAACUGACGCUGAGGCUCGAAAGCAUGGGUAGCGAACAGGAUUAGAUACCCUGGUAGUCCAUGCCGUAAACGAUGAGUGCUAAGUGUUGGGAGGUUUCCGCCUCUCAGUGCUGCAGCUAACGCAUUAAGCACUCCGCCUGGGGAGUACGACCGCAAGGUUGAAACUCAAAGGAAUUGACGGGGGCCCGCACAAGCGGUGGAGCAUGUGGUUUAAUUCGAAGCAACGCGAAGAACCUUACCAGGUCUUGACAUCCUUUGACCACCUAAGAGAUUAGGUUUUCCCUUCGGGGACAAAGAGACAGGUGGUGCAUGGCUGUCGUCAGCUCGUGUCGUGAGAUGUUGGGUUAAGUCCCGCAACGAGCGCAACCCUUGUUAAUAGUUGCCAGCAUUAAGUUGGGCACUCUAUUGAGACUGCCGGUGACAAACCGGAGGAAGGUGGGGAUGACGUCAAGUCAUCAUGCCCCUUAUGACCUGGGCUACACACGUGCUACAAUGGGCAGUACAACGAGAAGCGAACCUGUGAAGGCAAGCGGAUCUCUUAAAGCUGUUCUCAGUUCGGACUGUAGGCUGCAACUCGCCUACACGAAGCUGGAAUCGCUAGUAAUCGCGGAUCAGCACGCCGCGGUGAAUACGUUCCCGGGCCUUGUACACACCGCCCGUCACACCAUGAGAGUUUGUAACACCCAAAGUCGGUGAGGUAACCUUUGGAGCCAGCCGCCUAAGGUGGGACAGAUGAUUAGGGUGAAGUCGUAACAAGGUAGCCGUAGGAGAACCUGCGGCUGGAUCACCUCCUUUCUAAGGAA
rnacentral:rRNA from 1 species